GCCUCGAUCCCGUAAACCUUUAGUUAACAACUAAAAACCCAAACCAGCGGGCUUCAAUCUACUUCUCCCGUUAUAAAAAAACCGGGAGAAGCCCCGGCAC
rnacentral:tRNA from 1 species